UGCAAGUCGAGCGCUGUAACGUACGCAUGGGCAGACGGGUGAGUAACGCGUGGGGCAUACCCUUUUCUACGGAAUAACGCAGGGAAACUUGUGCUAAUACCGUAUGAGCCCUUCGGGGGAAAGAUUUAUCGGGAAAGGAUUGGCCCGCGUUGGAUUAGCUAGUUGGUGGGGUAAAGGCCUACCCAGGCGACGAUCCAUAGCUGGUCUGAGAGGAUGAUCACCCACAUUGGGACUGAAACACGGCCCAAACUCCUACGGGAGGCAGCGGUGGGGAAUAUUGGACAAUGGGCGCAAGCCUGAUCCAGCCAUGCCGCGUGAGUGAUGAAGGCCCUAGGGUUGUAAAGCUCUUUCACCGGAGAAGAUAAUGACGGUCAUCCCGAGAASAMGCCCCGGACUAACUUCGUGCCCAGCAGCCGCGGUAAUACGAAGGGGGACUAGCGUUGUUCGGAAUUACUGGGUCGUAAAGCGCACGUAGGCGGACAUUAUAAGUCAGGGGUGAAAUCCCGGGGCUCAACCCCGGGAACUGCCUUUGAUACUGGGUGUCUUGAGUGUGGAAGAGGUCAGUGGAAUUGCCAGUGUAGAGGUGAAAUUCUUAGAUAUUCGCAAGAACACCAGUGGCGAAAGCAGCUGACUGGUCCAUUACUGACGCUGAGGUGCGAAAGCGUGGAGAGCAAACAGGAUUAGAUACCCUGGUAGUACACGCUGCUAAACGAUGAAUGUUAGCCGUCCGGGCAGUCUACUGUUCGGUGGCGCAGCUAACGCAUUAAACAUUCCGCCUGGGGAGUACGGUCCGCAAGAUUAAAACUCAAAGGAAUUGUACCGGGGGGCCCGCACAAGCGGUGGAGCAUGUGGUUUAAUUCGAAGCAACGCGCAGAACCUUACCAGCCCUUGACAUGCCCGGACCGGUCCAGAGAUGGACUUUUCCCUUUGGGGACCGGGACACAGGUGUUGCAUGGCUGUCGUCAGCUCGUGUCGUGAGAUGUUGGGUUAAGUCCCGCAACGAGCGCAACCCUCGCCCUUAGUUGCCAGCAUUUGGUUGGGCACUCUAAGGGGACUGCCGGUGAUAAGCCGAGAGGAAGGUGGGGAUGACGUCAAGUCCUCAUGGCCCUUACGGGCUGGGCUACACACGUGCUACAAUGGUGGUGACAGUGGGCAGCGAAGGGGUGACCCCGAGCUAAUCUCCAAAAGCCAUUUCAGUUCGGAUUGCACUGUGCAACUCGAGUGCAUGAAGUUGGAAUCGCUAGUAAUCGCGGAUCAGCACGCCGCGGUGAAUACGUUCCCGGGCCUUGUACACACCGCCCGUCACACCAUGGGAGUUGGUUUUACCAGAAGGCGUUGCGGUAACCAGCAAUGGAGGCAGGCGACCACGGUAGGGUCAGAGACUGGGGUGAAGUCGAACAA
rnacentral:rRNA from 1 species